rnacentral:rRNA from 1 species
AGAGUUUGAUUAUGGCUCAGGACGAACGCUGGCGGCGUGCCUAACACAUGCAAGUCGAACGGAAGGCUUACGAGAAUUUCGAUUCAUGUAAGACUUUAGUGGCGGACGGGUGAGUAACGCGUGAGAAUCUGCCUUCAAGUGAGGAAUAACAGUUGGAAACGACUGCUAAUACCGCAUAACAUGGGAAACCAUCAAAGGAGCUUCACGGCUUCGCUUGAAGAUGAGCUCGCGUCUGAUUAGCUAGUUGGUGGGGUAAGAGCCUACCAAGGCGACGAUCAGUAGCCGGCCUGAGAGGGUGAACGGCCACAUUGGAACUGAGAAACGGUCCAA